rnacentral:rRNA from 1 species
GAGACACGGCCCAGACUCCUACGGGAGGCAGCAGUGGGGAAUAUUGCACAAUGGGCGCAAGCCUGAUGCAGCGACGCCGCGUGCGGGAUGACGGCCUUCGGGUUGUAAACCGCUUUUGACUGGGAGCAAGCCCUUCGGGGUGAGUGUACCUUUCGAAUAAGCACCGGCUAACUACGUGCCAGCAGCCGCGGUAAUACGUAGGGUGCAAGCGUUAUCCGGAAUUAUUGGGCGUAAAGGGCUCGUAGGCGGUUCGUCGCGUCCGGUGUGAAAGUCCAUCGCUUAACGGUGGAUCCGCGCCGGGUACGGGCGGGCUUGAGUGCGGUAGGGGAGACUGGAAUUCCCGGUGUAACGGUGGAAUGUGUAGAUAUCGGGAAGAACACCAAUGGCGAAGGCAGGUCUCUGGGCCGUCACUGACGCUGAGGAGCGAAAGCGUGGGGAGCGAACAGGAUUAGAUACCCUGGUAGUCCACGCCGUAAACGGUGGAUGCUGGAUGUGGGGACCAUUCCACGGUCUCCGUGUCGGAGCCAACGCGUUAAGCAUCCCGCCUGGGGAGUACGGCCGCAAGGCUAAAACUCAAAGAAAUUGACGGGGGCCCGCACAAGCGGCGGAGCAUGCGGAUUAAUUCGAUGCAACGCGAAGAACCUUACCUGGGCUUGACAUGUUCCCGACAGCCGUAGAGAUACGGUCUCCCUUCGGGGCGGGUUCACAGGUGGUGCAUGGUCGUCGUCAGCUCGUGUCGUGAGAUGUUGGGUUAAGUCCCGCAACGAGCGCAACCCUCGCCCUGUGUUGCCAGCACGUCGUGGUGGGAACUCACGGGGGACCGCCGGGGUCAACUCGGAGGAAGGUGGGGAUGACGUCAGAUCAUCAUGCCCCUUACGUCCAGGGCUUCACGCAUGCUACAAUGGCCGGUACAACGGGAUGCGACACUGUGAGGUGGAGCGGAUCCCUUAAAACCGGUCUCAGUUCGGAUUGGAGUCUGCAACCCGACUCCAUGAAGGCGGAGUCGCUAGUAAUCGCGGAUCAGCAACGCCGCGGUGAAUGCGUUCCCGGGCCUUGUACACACCGCCCGUCAAGUCAUGAAAGUGGGUAGCACCCGAAGCCGGUGGCCCAACCUUUUUGGGGGGAGCCGUCUAAGGUGAGACUCGUGAUUGGGACUAAGUCGUAACAAGGUAGCCGUACCGGAAGGUGCGGCUG